UGAGGAAUAUUGGACAAUGGAGGAAACUCUGAUCCAGCCAUGCCGCGUGAAGGAAGUAGGCCCUAUGGGUCGUGAACUUCUUUUGUCGCAGAGCAAUAAGGGCCACGCGUGGUCCGAUGAGAGUAUGCGACGAAUAAGCAUCGGCUAACUCCGUGCCAGCAGCCGCGGUAAUACGGGGGAUGCGAGCGUUAUCCGGAUUUAUUGGGUUUAAAGGGUGCGUAGGCUGCUCGACAAGUCGGCGGUGAAACCCCGGGGCUCAACCCCGGGCCUGCCGUCGAAACUGCCGAGCUUGAGUUCGGAUGCCGUGGGAGGAAUGAGUGGUGUAGCGGUGAAAUGCAUAGAUAUCACUCAGAACACCGAUUGCGAAGGCAUCUCACGAAUCCGAAACUGACGCUGAGGCACGAAAGCGUGGGGAUCAAACA
rnacentral:rRNA from 1 species